AAGACUUUAAGUUAAAAAAACUUAUAACCUUCAAAGUUAUAUAUAUUCUCUAAGAUUGAAUAAGUCUUA
rnacentral:tRNA from 1 species